AACGAACGCUGGCGGCAUGCCUAACACAUGCAAGUCGAACGAGAUCUUCGGGUCUAGUGGCGCACGGGUGCGUAACGCGUGGGAAUCUGCCCUUUGGUUCGGAAUAACAGUUGGAAACGAUUGCUAAUACCGGAUGAUGACGAAAGUCCAAAGAUUUAUCACCAGAGGAUGAGCCCGCGUAGGAUUAGCUAGUUGGUGUGGUAAAGGCGCACCAAGGCGACGAUCCUUAGCUGGUCUGAGAGGAUGAUCAGCCACACUGGGACUGAGACACGGCCCAGACUCCUACGGGAGGCAGCAGUGGGGAAUAUUGGACAAUGGGCGAAAGCCUGAUCCAGCAAUGCCGCGUGAGUGAUGAAGGCCUUAGGGUUGUAAAGCUCUUUUACCCGGGAUGAUAAUGACAGUACCGGGAGAAUAAGCUCCGGCUAACUCCGUGCCAGCCGCCGCAGUAA
rnacentral:rRNA from 1 species